rnacentral:rRNA from 1 species
GAUGAACGCUGGCGGCGUGCCUAAUACAUGCAAGUCGAGCGAACAGACGAGGAGCUUGCUCCUCUGACGUUAGCGGCGGACGGGUGAGUAACGCGUGGAUAACCUACCUAUAAGACUGGGAUAACUUCGGGAAACCGGAGCUAAUACCGGAUAAUAUAUUGAACCGCAUGGUUCAAUAGUGAAAGACGGUUUUGCUGUCACUUAUAGAUGGAUCCGCGCCGCAUUAGCUAGUUGGUAAGGUAACGGCUUACCAAGGCAACGAUGCGUAGCCGACCUGAGAGGGUGAUCGGCCACACUGGAACUGAGACACGGUCCAGACGCCUACGGGAGGCAGCAGUAGGGAAUCUUCCGCAAUGGGCGAAAGCCUGACGGAGCAACGCCGCGUGAGUGAUGAAGGUCUUCGGAUCGUAAAACUCUGUUAUUAGGGAAGAACAAAUGUGUAAGUAACUAUGCACGUCUUGACGGUACCUAAUCAGAAAGCCACGGCUAACUACGU